GACAGAAACUAAAAACCGUGAGUUCAGGCAGCUAGAAACCUAAAAUAAAAGAAAACGGAACAACAACAACAACAACGAAAAUAAGGUGGGUUGGAUAAGCUUCGAAAUGGUUACUGCUUAUGCAAAGGUGCAGGCCCCAGAUCUUUCCUUUUACUUGGGAGAAAACAGACGCCAUUCAGUGAAAGUCAACAUAUCCUUACUGGACACUUAUUCUGUGAGGCACUCUGGGAGAUAGAAAUGCUAUUAUGGUCAGUAAAUCUAGAGAGGAAAAAAGACAAGAAAACAACUAUACCAAAAUUGGCUACGAAUCAGGUGCAAGGGCACAUAAAAGAAGCAGCAAUUAUUUCUGAUCAAAGGAUUAGAGAAGAAUGUGCACAGAAGGUGACACAGAAACUCAGCUUAGAAAAAUGUAUAUUUGCGGGGAGAUAAAGGGGAAGGUAUUACAAUGUGAGGCUGUAUAAGAUUCCAAAGCACAGAGAUAUGAAUGUGAAAGGCUUAAUUUGAGAAAGACAAAAUGUUCAUAGUGACUGAAACUUGUUAGCAGAACUUGCAUAGUGCUAGCUCUAAAGAGAAGUUUGGGCUCGGUUUAGAGGGACUUUGGCUGCCAUACUAGGGAGUUUGGAUUCCAUUCUACAGUGUGGAGGAAGAUUUUUUAAAAGCACCAUUUAGUAAACACUGUGGUUGCCUCCUCAACAUCUAUUCCCUACACUACCCCUAUUGUCCUUUCUAACCAAAUCCAUUUUUUUUUUAAAUCAGAUAAUCCACCUCUCCUUUAUGAGAUUCAGGGGACAAUGAAUUCAUCUCCAUUUCCAAGGAUAGAUCUGUAUUAGCUUAAAUCAGGCAGGCUAACUCAUACUUCUUGUGCUUCCAUGACAGACUCUUUCUGGGUUAUACGUAAUAAAUAUACAUAAACAAUAUUAUACUUCAUUGUCCAGCAUAUACAAGAGGCAAACACAAAUCAGAAAUAUUAUCUUUACCAGUGGUACAUGAGUCCAUUUUUUGUCAAAUAGAGAGCAAUUGCUGCAGUAAUUGCAGUUUAUCACUAAGCCAGAUGCAGGGGUUACUCAUACAUAUGCCUUCUAAUUGUGGGCUACUAUUAAUAGUCACUGGCCUCCUUCUUAAAUUAUUUUCAGUCAUGAGCUUAACUUAAUGUGGUACCAUAUAUUCUUUCUUUUAAGGACCUUAAGAAUCUGGGAAGAAUUAGCCACACUCUAAUUUAGGAACAGAGAUGGAUGAAUCCACCUAUGGACAUUUACUGGUAUGAGUCACUGGGGAAGUUCACUAAGUCACUAUUUAAGAUGAUCCAGAACAGGUGUCUACAGCUGCCUUAAGAAUGAGUACUAUGGUGGUGAUGAAAAUGUUCCUCUCAGAUGUCCAACUGCAGGGGGUGGGUAUGAAAUUGCCAGAUGGCCCCAGCUGGUGUGCUCUGGAAUCCUUGGCGCCAAGGCCAUGCUGCCAGGGGCUUCUCCAGGCUGGUGAUCAAAUGUAGUGAGGAUCCUCAGGCAGGCCCAUUCCUGGAAGACAUGGGACUCUCCCGAUAGGUCGGCUCCAAGGCUACACAAGCAGCAAGAAGAAAAGGAAAAACUCUGUUUUAUUAAAGCUCCACUUGCCUAUCUACCUUGGUGGAGGGUCAAGAAAAGGUUUAUAACCUAUUUGCAGGUUUUAGGCUCCUGUUUGCAGCACAGAAACCACAGACAAUAGAAAUUCAGACUCAGUGGUGUGGCAGAAGAUAAAAUAAUUUGGGUUAUUUCUGUGAUAACAUGGGCAAUCUGGAAACUACUCCCAUUUGUGAGGGUAAAUCUCUAUUAUGAUACAUGGAAAAUAGGACAGAUGCUAAUUCAGGUAAGAAAAGGUCUUUGUAUUAUACAAAUAUUUACCUUCAGACAGAAAUGUUAAUGAAGAUGGAGAAGGAACAGUUACCAAGAAACUAGGGAUAGUAGGACACAAAAAACCUGGUAACCUGGUAGUGAGUAUGAACCAGUCUGGUGCCUUGCCUCCAGAGGAGCAGCAACUGAGCAGAGCUACUGGACAACCAGCCCUGCACUUCCCUAGAGCACAGACCAGCUCACUAUGCAGCCACCAAGAGAUAAGCACCGAAGGAGAACCUACCAGCCAUGGAUCCUCAGAAAACAGACCAGCUAAGUGCCCAGCCUUCAGGGGACAAGCAGCUGAGUGGGCAUACCAGCCACACAAACUUCUGCAGCCAAGGCCACUGAGGUACUUGCAGGCACCACUGACAUUAACUACAGCUAAAGAAGCUGCAUGGAGACUACACUACUGCAUCCACCCAGAACAAAAACAAAUGUACCUUACCCAACCAACAUGCUAGGACACAUCUGCAGGUGUAAGUCUUUUCUGCUGAAAGUUAUGCUACAAAGUUAGAAAAGGUGAUUAUUCCAUCAGAUGCACAGAUGCCAGUGCAGGGAUACAAGAAACAUAAAAAAGCAAGGGAACAUGACACCACCAAAGAAACACAAUAAUUCUCUAGUAACUGACCCCAAUAAAAAAAUAAAAAUUUAUGAAUUGCCAGAAAAGGAAUUCAAGAUAGUGAGCCUAAGGAAACUUGGUGAGACAUGAAAGAACACAAACGGAUCAUUCAACAAUCGGGAAAAACAGUUCAUGAUCUGAAUGAGAAAUUCAACAAAGAGAGAGAUAUCAUAAAAAAGAACAAAAUAGAAAUCUUGGGGCCAAGAAAUUCAAUGAAUGAAAUAAAAAACGCAAUUGAGAGCUUCAACAGCAAAAUAGAUCAAACAGAAGAAUUUUUGAACUUGAAAACAGGCCUUUUGAAAUAGUCCAGUCAGAGGUAAAGAAAAAAAAAAAGGAAUGAAGAAGCCUAUGGCAUUUAUGGGACACCAUAAGUGAACAAAUGUUUGCAUUUUGGCAACUUAAGAAGAAGAGAUGAAGAAAGGCAAAGAAAGCUUAUUUAACACAGUAAUAGUUGAAAACUUCCCAAGUCUUGGAGAGAUAUGGACAUCCAGAUCCAUGAAGUUCAAAGGAUCCCACAAAGAUUCAACUCAAAGAGGUCCUCUCUGAGGCAUAUAACCAAACUGUCAAAAGUCAAAGACAAAGAAAAAAAUACUAAAAGCAGCAUGAGAAAAGCAUCAAGUCACAUAUAAGGGAAUUGCCAUUGGACUAUUAGCAGAUUUCCCAGCAGCAACCUUGCAGGCCAGGAGAGAAUGGGAUGAUAUAUUUAAAAUACUAGAAGAAAAAAAGCUGCUAGCCUAGAAUACUAUACCAGCAAAUCUUUGCUUCAGAAAUGAAGGAGAAAUAGUCUUUCCCAGAUCAGCAAAAGUUGAGGGAACUCAUUACCACUGGACCAGACUUACAAGAAAUGCUUGAGUAUUUCUAUUGGAAAAAAAAGUUUUUAUGAUAAUUGCUACCAUAAAAAAACAUGAAGUAUAAAUCUCACUGCUGGAGAUAAAUGCAUUAUCAAAUUCAUAAUGCUUCAUUACUGCAAUGGUGAUAUGUAAUGUUUCAAACCUCUAGUAUGAAGGUUAAAAGCCAAAACAGCUGGGUGCUGUGGCAUGUGCUUGUAGUCCCAGUUAUUUAGGAGGCUGAAAUGGAAGGCUCAUUUGAGCCCAGGGGUUUGAGUCCAACCUGGGCAACAUAAUGAGACCCCAUUUAAAAAAUAAUAAUAAUUAAAAAAAUGCAGCUCUGUGGGAUGCCAAAAAGUGAAAAUUGGAAUAAUGAUUAUAGCAAUGAUAAGUUGUUAAGGAAUAAACAAUAUAUAAAGAUGUAUAUUAAAGCAACAAAAUUAUAAAUUUGGGUGCAGAAUGAAAGUCUAGAGUAUUGGUAUGCAAUGAAAGUUAACUUGUUAUCAGCUUAAAAUAGUCUAUUAUAAGUAUGAGAGAUUUUUAAUGUAACCCCAAUACUAACCACAAAGAAAAAAUUACAACAGAUAUACAAAUGAGAAAGAGAAAGGAAUCAAAGCUUAACACAACAAAUACCCUAAUCAAGCCACAGACAUAAACAUGAGAGAGGAAGAAAGGAACAAAGGAUAAACAAAACAACCAGAAAAUAAUGAACAAAAUGCAGGAAAGCUUAGGGCCCUGGAUGGUCCUUCUUGAAAUGUUUCCCAGAACAGGGGCAAACAUCAAAGGCCUUCUUGGAAAAGAAUGAAGUUGGCAAACUUCAUUCAAUGCUGUAUUGGACAUUCCUUCAUUCAACAAAUAUUAAAACCCACUAGAUGGUAAGCUUACUCAGCAGACAUGGUGAGAUCAGCAGUAGGCUUUGUUUUUUGUGGAACACCUAUACAAACAAAAGAAUGUGAAGUGUGUUUUAAUAACUGGAAGAUACUUAAUCUGGCUGGAAAUAGAGACUUGUGGGGAGAUAUCAUGAGCCUGGACACAUCAAGUGGACCUAGAUACUUGAGGACCUUGAAAACCAUUUUAAAGGCUUUAGCUGGGUUGCAUCUUAAUCAAUGGGAAGUCACUGGAAGAUUUUUAUUUGGGUUUAUUAAAAAUUUUUUCAAAGUAA